UACAUGCACAUGUAUUAAUUGUUCUCUCUCCUUCCCAGUGUGAGGGAAAGCUGACAGUAGGCUACACUGGCACAACCAUCGAAGGAGUAAAGAUGCAAAUAUUGACAGAAAGAGUGUGAUCUCUACACCUAAACUGUGCUCCCAUACAUGCCAUGCAGGUCUGCUGCUGCUCCUGAUGCACUACAGAUGCAGCAGACAGAGGAGGUCACGGGUCAAACCAAGCCCACACCUGAGAGGCUUUUGCUGUUUCCAUUGGUUCAAACCUGUUACUCACCCAGUCUUCCCAGAUCUAUCUGCCUGUCCUGACCCUGAGCCUGCCUGCCGUUCUGUCCCUGUUUGACCCUGCCUUGGACUACGAACCACUGCCUGCCCUCGACCUGCUCUUUGCCUGCCCCUUUGUAUAAUAACAAUUCUGAGUGUCGAAUU